CUCUGCUUUGGAUCAAUAUCUUCAAAGAUGGGUUCCAGGCCAUGGAGAACCAACUGAUCGAUGUCACUGGAGUCCAUCCCCAGAGUGGAAGACUUGCCAGACUAAAGAAUUAAGGUAUUACACAUUACAUGCCAUUCAUGGCUUAUGCGGUGCUGGAGAUUAAACCUCGGGCCUUAUGCAUACAAGGAAAUGGAUGGAACUGGAGAGCAUUUGAUGCACCAUGAGCCAGACUCUGGAAGACAGAUCUCCAGCAGAAGGUGUGACCCAG